rnacentral:lncRNA from 1 species
UCGGGUUCAAGAACAUUGAUGUAGGUGUCUUAAAUUUAGGAGUUUAGUUGAGUAAUAGUUUAUCUUAAACUAGGGUGAACCCGCUCUACAGGUGGAGUAUACUUUACUUGUAAUCUCGAUUUUUAGUUUUUGUAUGAUUUAGUGGUUUGCGUUUUAAAUUUCUAUUUGCAAGACAUAUGUAUAAUAGUGUUUAUUGUCUAUUAGAAUAUUUUAAGUGAUGAAGAAUAUUAUAUCCAUUUUAGUUAAUGUCACUUGUUUUUUUUUUUUGUCAAAUAUAUUUUAUGAUAUUAUACUAUUUUAGUUAUUAUCUUUCUAUUUUUGUUAUGUUUUUUUAUAACGAGAACACAUUUUAUAUUAUUUUCGCAUAUGUCUAAUUUUUUUUAUUUUUUUAUUAUUCUUGUUAGAGAUUAUAAAGUUGUAUUAGCAAGAUAUUUGGUAUACAUGUAUUAAAUGUUUGCUCAAUUGUUUUUUAUAUAUAGUACAUAUUAUUAGAGUAUUUAUUAUUGUGGUUAGGUUUAAUACUCAAAACAUUGUUUAUUUUAUAUUUUGUUUGUAUUGAAUGUACUUGUAUUUUUAAUAAAAGGGAGAAUUUGCUCAGUAGCCAAAUUUUGAAUGAAAAUUAAGAAAAUAUCAUUGAUUUUGACGUUAUUAAGUAACUAGCUUUUGUCUCAUAUUUUUUCCGGUUUUAUCCUCUUCACUAGCAAGUCUCCGGUGAAAGAAAGAGAGAGUACAUGAUGUCGUCACUUGGUGUUAUGGAUAAGAGUAAAGCACCAUUAUUUUUACCUCACCGCCAAAACCUUUGCAAACAGUCUUCUUUUUCACCAAGCUAUUAUGGAUUUACCAAAUAAAAAAUAAUUUGCAAAAUGUGUGUGAAUGUUGGAGGGUCACGAAUUACUUUUGUUGUUAAUAAUUAAUAAUAAAAACUGUUUUUGUUUGCAGGUUUUGCCGGUAGGAUAGAAUGACAAAAUGACAAUAUUAUAUAAAAGCCACGACAUGUAUAGGUGUAAUAGGAAAAAUGGUCAUCUAGCUAAUUAGUGUUUUU